rnacentral:rRNA from 1 species
UACGGGGGGGGCAAGCGUUGUUCGGAAUUACUGGGCGUAAAGCGCACGUAGGCGGCUUGUUAAGUCAGGGGUGAAAUCCUGGAGCUCAACUCCAGAACUGCCUUUGAUACUGGCGAGCUUGAGUCCGGGAGAGGUGAGUGGAACUGCGAGUGUAGAGGUGAAAUUCGUAGAUAUUCGCAAGAACACCAGUGGCGAAGGCGGCCAUCUGGACCAGCACUGACACUGAGGCACGAAAGCGUGGGGAGCAAACAGG